rnacentral:lncRNA from 1 species
UCUGGAUCGUCUUUGUAUGCAAAAAAGGGAUAUGCAUUAAUAAGAAAUGGCGAAUUGGUCUGCGAAUGAAAUGCAAGAAUUGGCUGCAUAUAUUGAGCAAGAUCUUCACGGAAGGUCCCUGAGGAUGGCGGGAAGGAAUUACCCAAGAUUUGAAAUGAAUGAGCUGUUGUUACUAAUACCUUUUUGUUCAGGCCAAGAUUACCAAGUGCCUUAUACACUGAUUGCAUGGCAGGUGCAAGGUAAGAUUUCAACUGAUUGUCCUCUCCUGAUAACACCUCAUUCCCGACGAAAAUGCAAGAAAUCGUCGUCUGGCUAAGGUGUGGUUGAACAUUUUCUUGAAUCCAAUUUUGGGCUUUCACAGGGUCACCCAUAGCUUGAAGGUCUUGAUUCCCAAGUCCAAUAAUGAAUUCAACAUUCGAAUUCGAAAAAGCAGACAACACCUUUGGGUCAGCAUCAUAAAGCUUCACUCUACUUAUGUUGAGAGACUUAAGCAGAGAGGAA